UACGAGUGCCUCAAGCGUUAUCCGGAAUCAUUGGGCGUAAAGGAGGUGUAGGUGGUUUUAUUAGUCUUCUGUUAAAUUCUUCGGCUCAACCGGGGGCAAGCAGGGGAAACGGUAAAACUAGAGGAUGCGAGGGGUGAAUGGAACUCAUAGUGUAGGGGUGAAAUCCGUUGAUAUUAUGGGGAACACCAAAAGCGAAGGCAGUUCACUGGCGCAUUCCUGACACUGAAACACGAAAGCGUGGGUAGCGAAUGGG
rnacentral:rRNA from 1 species